AUGGGUAUUAAUUAAGGAGUGAAUAAAAAUGGCAAAGUACUUCUUGUACUAAAUUCAAUUCUCGACUUGCUUGGCGUCUAUCUGGACACCCUAUUUUAUUACGCGUUCCAAGAACUAAGGAUAACAGUAAUUUUAGUGAUUAAAAUUUCAGAAGCUGGAUGUUAAAAAUUAUUUCAAAACAGAAAACUCUGAUUUUAGUUACGGGUUCCAUUAAAUACAUUUAUAAUUUAUUUCAAUAAAAAAACUGAUUGUGACGUGCUUAUAUUUUGCCGAAAUAAAAUAGAUAAAAGCGAUAUAAAUUUAUCAUGAAGAUUACAUGUUUAGCGCUGCUUGUGUUUGUGUUUCUUGUGAUGAUGGAUGGGAAUUCAUUGGUUGCAUCAGACUCACAGGCGACAGGUUACACAGACGGCCAAUCGACACAUGAUGGUGGAGGUGGAUCAUGGGGAAGAAAGAAGAGAUCUUUUGUUGAAGGAAAUGACUCUGAUGAUGCUUUAACUAUUCUCGAACAUCUCGGAUGAUAGACUCACUCAACAAUAUAGUCCUGAAAAAACUUUAUUUCCAUGUCUGUUUUAUUUUCUGACUCAGAUUUAAAUAUAGUACGUUGACACUACAUUG